rnacentral:rRNA from 1 species
CCCAAGGGGGAAAACCCGGAGGAGCAAACCCGCCUGAAGGGAGAAAGCCUCUGGGCAGUUAACCUUUUUUCUCAAGGGAGAAAAUCAAACGGUACUCCAGGAAUAAGCCCCGGCUAAUUCCGUGCCAGCAGCCGCGGUAAUACGGGGGGGGCAAGCGUUAUCCGGAAUUAUUGGGCGUAAAGGGUCCGCAGGCGGCCUUGUAAGUCUGUCGUUAAAGCCCCGAGCUUAACUCCGGUUCAGCGAUGGAAACUACUAGGCUUGAGUGUGGUAGGGGCAGAGGGAAUUCCCGGUGUAGCGGUGAAAUGCGUAGAUAUCGGGAAGAACACCAGCGGCGAAGGCGGUUAGCUGGGCCAUCACUGACGCUCAGGGGCGAAAGCCA